UACGUAGGGGGCAAGCGUUAUCCGGAUUUACUGGGUGUAAAGGGGGCGCAGACGGCGAUGCAAGCCAGGAGUGAAAGCCCGGGGCCCAACCCCGGGACUGCUCUUGGAACUGCGUGGCUGGAGUGCAGGAGGGGCAGGCGGAAUUCCUGGUGUAGCGGUGAAAUGCGUAGAUAUCAGGAGGAACACCAGUGGCGAAGGCGAUUUGCUGGGCCAUUACUGACGCUCAUGCACGAAAGCGUGGGGAGCAAAUAGG
rnacentral:rRNA from 1 species